UACGUAGGGUGCGAGCGUUGUCCGGAAUUAUUGGGCGUAAAGGGCUCGUAGGCGGUUUGUCGCGUCGGGAGUGAAAACCAGGUGCUUAACACCUGGCUUGCUUUCGAUACGGGCAGACUAGAGGUAUUCAGGGGAGAACGGAAUUCCUGGUGUAGCGGUGAAAUGCGCAGAUAUCAGGAGGAACACCGGUGGCGAAGGCGGUUCUCUGGGCCUUACCUGACGCUGAGGAGCGAAAGCGUGGGGAGCGAACAGG
rnacentral:rRNA from 1 species